GUUUAAGUACAUGCCGAAUUAAGGCGAAACAGCGAAUGGCUCAUUAAAUGAGUUAUGGUUCCUUGGAUCGUACCUUACUACUUGGAUAAUUGUGGCAAUUCUAGAGAUAAUACAUACAGCAGAGCUUCGAUCCUCUAGGGACGAGUGCUUUUAUUAGACCUUAUUACAUUACUAAAUAAUAAUUAUCCGCAAUACUUAUUUCAAUAAUAUUUGUGUUUUGGAUUAUCUGAUACUAAUCAAAUGCAGAA
rnacentral:ncRNA from 1 species